rnacentral:rRNA from 1 species
CUCAACCUGGGAAUUGCAUUCGAUACUGCCUGACUAGAGUGUGGUAGAGGGAAGUGGAAUUCCGCAUGUAGCGGUGAAAUGCGUAGAGAUGCGGAGGAACACCAAUGGCGAAGGCAACUUCCUGGACCAACACUGACACUGAGGUGCGAAAGCGUGGGUAGCAAACAGGAUUAGAUACCCUGGUAGUCCACGCCGUAAACGAUGUCAACUAGCCGUUGGGGGCGUUUGGCCCCUAGUGGCGCAGCUAACGCGAUAAGUUGACCGCCUGGGGAGUACGGUCGCAAGAUUAAAACUCAAAGGAAUUGACGGGGGCCCGCACAAGCGGUGGAGCAUGUGGUUUAAUUCGAUGCAACGCGAAGAACCUUACCUGCCCUUGACAUCCUGGGAACUCUCUGGAGACAGAGAGGUGCCUUCGGGAACCC